AAAGAUUUUCCUUGACUGACCUUUUAAAAUGUGGACAUUUACCGACUUUGGAUUUGCGUUUGAUGAUGGUACGUGGAAAUUGAGCUGAUUCAACAAGUCCGCACUUUCAACAUCACCAUGGAUAAGAUUAUAAAUAUACGAGCGAAACGUAAGAAGUUCUUUUG